GAUUUCAACUAAAAAAGUCAUCAACAAUAAAACUGUAUAACUCAUCAAGAUCUAUAACUUUUAUUUUAAUCAUUUCUUCAUCCGAUGAAGUGAUAGUAAUAUUGUUCACAAAAUUUACAUUUCUCUCGUAUGGUUUUAUAAACUAUAAGAGAGAUAUGUAAAUUUUGUGAAUAAUUUUACUAUCACUUUAUCGGAUGAAGAAAUGAUCAAAAUAAAAGUUGUAUGUCUUGGUGUGUUCUACAACUUUUAUGUCCAUGACUUUUUCAGCUGAAAUU
rnacentral:pre_miRNA from 1 species